CCUACGGGAGGCAGCAGUGGGGAAUAUUGCGCAAUGGGCGAAAGCCUGACGCAGCGACGCCGCGUGAGGGACGAAGGUCUUCGGAUCGUAAACCUCUGUCAGCAGGGAAGAACGGUCACUGUGCUAAUCAGCAGUGAAUUGACGGUACCUGCAAAGGAAGCACCGGCUAACUCCGUGCCAGCAGCCGCGGUAAUCCGGAGGGUGCGAGCGUUAAUCGGAAUUACUGGGCGUAAAGCGCUCGUAGGCGGUAUGUCAAGUCAAGGGUGAAAUCCCCGCGCUCAACGUGGGAACUGCCUUUGAAACUGGCAAACUGGAGUGUGUGAGAGGAUAGUGGAAUUCCAGGUGUAGGAGUGAAAGCCGUAGAUAUCUGGAGGAACAUCAGUGGCGAAGGCGACUAUCUGGCACAUAACUGACGCUGAGGAGCGAAAGCGUGGGUAGCAAACAGGAUUAGAUACCCUUGUAGUC
rnacentral:rRNA from 1 species